GGGACACCAGCGCCCCCUGCGGCCGCAGCACCCACCUCUCCCAGCCAGGAAAGCCAGCCUCGGUUCUCCUUUUAUCUGUUCUCCCUGGGCAGACGGAAGUGGGACAGUCCCCGGCUCUGGAACCACCCACAGAUCCCUCCCUGAGAGCCCCAGGCAACCAAAGAGCCGGUGGUGGGUGGUGGCCCCUGCCUGCCCUGACUGGGCCCCGAUCCAGCUCACGGUUGAGAUCCGGACAUUUGAGCAUUUAUUGAGCACCUACUGUAUGCGAGGGACCAUUCCAAAUGCUUCGGCUGCAUCCAAGGUCCAGAUGCUCCUGGCCAUAAGAUGGGAUCAUACCCAAUAAAUCCAUCGUUAAGUCAAAACACAGCAGGUGGCAGAACCACUGAGCUAAAUCCCCAGCCCAGAAGCAUCACUAUUCUUGUUGCAUGGAUGAAGCAGGUGACAUUCAGAGCAGUGGAAGCUCCUGGGAGAAGUGUCAGAGCUUGGACCUGACCCUAGACCGCCCUGACUGUUGUCUUGCCUUGGGGAUGCUGCCCUGCCCCUCCGAGGCCAUAUACCUCUCUCCACUUGGCGUCACUCUUCCGCUGGAUCAUCGCAGGGUCUGGCUGGAAGGUCCCCAGAGGUGUGUGCGCGGAUGACAGCAGCUGGACGCACAGUUGGUACUUUGAGCCACAGUCCGGCCUGGCUGCAAACCUGUGGGGAUGGAGGGCCAGGUCAGCGCCUCAAAGAUGGGGAGCAGAGUGGGGUGGGGGUCCUGAAUGGCAGCCACCCCCAGACUCGUGUGCCAGCCACUCACCAGUCCUUGACCUCAAUGUCUGGCUGCAUGGUGUCCAUGAGCUCCUCCCAGUACCCUUCAGCCUUGAGGUCCACCACCUGGGACUUGAGGCAGGUGCUGGGGGCGGGUGGAGGGGUGCUGGGGUCACCAUGGGGGCCCAGAGGCUCUGAGCGUCCCUCUCCAGAUGGGCAGGGACUUGGGCUUCCCCCUGCCCCAAAGCCCAGAUCUUACUAAUAAGAAGUCACGAAGUAUUUCUUGACCUGGUCACUGGGGAAUUCCUUCCUCUGCUCCCAGGACAGGUCCUCCACCUUCCACUCAUCACCGCCGUUCACGUCCAAGCUCCAGAACUCAAACCCCUCUGGCAGGAGAGCAGAGCUCAUGGUGGGUGGUGGCCCUCGGGAAUCACCUCUCCCACCCGCCCCUCCCUCCCUGGAACUCUGCAGCUGACUCCAUCCAGCGCUGGGGGGGCACUGCACAUCAGUUGGGUCUACCUUGUGUUUGGUGCCUUCUGAGUCCCAGGCAUAGAAUCUGACCACACAACAGAAGACGAUAUCUUCAUCCCACUCCAGUGUCCCCCCUCCCUGACAAGUGACAGCAUAGCAAGGUAGAGGGUUCAUCUUCAUGUCAACUUGACUUACUCCAGAGCUACCUAGGGGAUUAGGAAAGCACACUUCUGGGUGUGUCUGGGUGGGUCUUGGUGGCAUGACCCUGGGGACUCUAUCUGUCCCUUACUUCCUUUGUGGCCCUCUUCCCUUAUGCUCUGCUUUCUUGCCACCAUGAUGUGGGCAGUGUUCCUCCGCCAUACCCUUCUGCCGUGAUGUUCCUGUCUUGGAGCUAGCUGACCAUGGACUUAAACCUCUGAAGCCGUGAGCCAAACAAGCCUCUCCUCCUUUAAGUUGUUGGGUGUCAGGUGUUUUGUUCCAGUGACGGGAAAGCUGAUGGAUCCACAGGGGAAGCUGGGGUUCAGAGUGACAUAGGAGCCUUAUUUUGUCUGUUGCUGCUACCCUCUGGAAAGAAGACUGGAUCUCUCCUUCUUUCACAAGAACAGCCCCGCCCCCAGCCCUGCCUGUCUUCUGGGAUAGUCACAGUAUGUUCAGCCCUGUGACUUGUAUCUUGGGCACAAAUUUUUUCAGGUGGCCAACAAUCUUUUUAGUAGUAAAGGUCACUGGAGAAAUAAUUUUAGAAGUGGAAUAAGAAAUACUACCCUUGGUCUCUCUCUCAGUCUGCCCAUCUGGACCGUGGGUUCAAGGGCAAUCCCUACCUCGAAGGGUUGUUGUGAGAGGACUGAAGGCAUUAAACCACCCAAAGGACCUGAGCUGGUGUUUGGUGCUAGGGCACACCAGACCCCACCGCACCCCACCUUCAGCACACAGGUUGUGCAGGAGGUUCCU